ensembl:lncRNA
AAAUGUAAUUCCAUUGCAUUGGCCCACAUUGGAACUAUGUUUCCAGGAGAACUGAUGAAAAAAAGCCUUGGUUAAAGUCUCCAAUGAGAUUAGAUCUUAGUGGAUUGAGAAAUUACAUUAAGUUUUGUCUGCAAUACACCUUGGAGGGACGACAAACAGAUUAUAUGCAUUUACAAGCUUGUUUGAAGCUAGUUUGGUGACUAGGCUGGGUGCUUCAGCACACAAGAGCACAAAACAUCAAGUUCCCUAAUUAUUUUCUCUCAUUUGGAAUAAGGUCCCUGACACAAAGUUUCAGUGGAAGGAAAAAUUAUGACAUCCACUGUAUUAUCAAAUCCUCUAGACUAAGACUGAACAAUGCAAUUUUUCUCCUGUCCUCAUAUUUGAGAGAGACUGGUGCCUCAACGGGACCCGACUUGUCUCGGCUUUAUGUAUGUGUGUGGGUUGUGCCACUGCAGCAGGAAGCAGAGCUGCUCUAGAUGCCUGCAUUGUCAUGUGACACAUUCCCAUUGAAGCAGCGCUGUGUUGUGAGGCCUGUUAUUUUUACCCAGCGUGCACCUGGACGGGCCCUAGACCUGCUCUAGCCUGCCUUUCCUCCACUGCACAGCACCCUCAGGUGUUUCUUUAAAGCCUGUCAUCUUCAUUCUCUCCGCCUCUCAUUGCCUUUCCCUCGACGCACAAUCGCAGCAGCUGCAGACGCCUUUAAUUGGUGGAUUUACUCACUCUUAUGUUGUUCCAAACCUGACUUUCUUUAUUCUGUUGAACACAAAAGGAGAUAUUAUUUUGAAGAAUGCUGGGAACCAAACAGCCGCUGACUUACAUAGUAUGGAAAAAAGAAAAAAAAAAAUACCGUCAGCUGUUUGGUUGCCAACGUGGAUGGACUGUUUCAUCUGAAAGGAACUAUUUAAGAUCAUCAAACUAACCACAGGAAGGAAGCAAAUUUGUAGAAACCGUUGCGGUACGAGCCCCCAGUCCUGCUUUUCUCCUCUUUCAGUGAACAAUUUCAACAGUCCCAACAAGGUCAAAUUUAAGUCAGCUCGCAAAUCGUUUCGGUUGAUUGCCUACAUUUGCUUCAGUAGUAGGGAGAAGGUCAGCUACCUGAACCCAUAAAGAAGAGAUAUGCCAACCCAGACAGCGUCAUCGCGGUUCCUGUUAUGAGCCUGGAGCGGAGGAGAUGAGAGGAGAGAGGGCUUUUAUUGCCUGCUCAUGUUAGACAGAAGACCCGUUUGCCCAGCCUUGCUGCUCUUUGGCACAGUCCUCUCUCUGAUAAACAGACUACAGAUACAGGCAAUAAUCAAGAUACACAACAUAACCUGAGCUGAACAUGGACAGCAGCACAGAGAGCCAUGCAGAUGUAUUGUAACAUGCCCAUGGAUUUUGAAAGUUUGAUUAUUGUCAUCUUUGAUUAUUAUGUUGCAUGAUUAUUGUAAUGUAAGAAGUCUAAAUGCAGAAUAAGGGGCCAUUACACAAAAUGCAUUUUUCCAUUUUACUUUACUAUUUUUUUCUGUAGUUUUCUAUGUAAGCAUUUUUUUUUACCAUUCUAAAAAUUCCACAGUUUUUUUUUUUAAAAUUGAACUUGGAAAAAACCAAAGGAAAAAGAAAAAACCUUAUACCUUGUGUUUACUGCCUGCAUCUUGCAUUUUUCAGUUUUCACAUGUUCAAAAAUGUUUUGUGUAUAAAUGGUCCAUAAAUCAAUACUUCAAAUGGUUAUGCUAAUAAUAUAAUUUGCAAUAAAAAUAUUAUUGAAAAAUAAUAAAUAAUAAUAAAGGCAUUACCAAGCCUUUAUUCUGUCUUAAUUUUAUUGUUUACUUAUUAUUUUAGAUAUUUUACACCAUUACAUAUUUCAACAUUUUUUUUUUUUAUUCUCACCCAAAAAUAAAAAAAAGGCUGUCAUUAAUCACCCUCACAUCAUUCCAAACCUGUAAGACCUUUGUUCCUCUUCAGAACACAAAUAAAGAUAUUUUUGAUGAAAUCCGAGAGCUUUCUGACCCUCCAUAGACAGAAAGAGAA